rnacentral:sRNA from 1 species
CUCUUUUCCCGCCAGCUGGAAUACUGUAGCAUCACCUGUCAGCUUAUCUAAAAUACAGACCUCGGUCGAGACACCGGGAAAACUGUCGGAAACACUGAAAAUAGAGUCCAAGAAGAGCGUGCCCUUCUCCAUAAGGGUCACCAGGGAUUAUACCUUUCAAUGUCAGAGUGAUGGAGGACGCAGCAUGUGGCGCUCGAGUCAGAUUGAGCGUUCAUGUGACCCGUGGCACUAAGGUUCUACCUACGUCCAGAUUCAAGCCAUUUCUGGCACACUUCGAGGCAUGCGACAUACUAUACUAGGCCAAAAAAAAAAGAUCCUCAUGCUGGAAUUUCCCUUUUCAAGGACAUCUGGCAGUUUUGAAUUUAAGAAGGUCCACACAAACAAUGACUGGGAUACACUCAGUCGUCAACAAAGACUUUAUUACAUACGGGAGACUUUGCAGAGGAGAUAUGGCCUCAUUAUCAACCAAGGUAUCAUCAACGAAAACACAAUCAUCAGCCUUAUUGUCCUCCUUGUUUCUGAACCAAGAAUGCAAAG